rnacentral:rRNA from 1 species
CCUACGGGAGGCAGCAGUGGGGAAUAUUGGACAAUGGGCGAAAGCCUGAUCCAGCAAUGCCGCGUGAGUGAUGAAGGCCUUCGGGUCGUAAAGCUCUUUUACCAGGGAUGAUAAUGACAGUACCUGGAGAAUAAGCUCCGGCUAACUCCGUGCCAGCAGCCGCGGUAAUACGGAGGGAGCUAGCGUUGUUCGGAAUUACUGGGCGUAAAGAGUACGUAGGCGGUUAUUCAAGUCAGAGGUGAAAGCCCGGGGCUCAACCCCGGAACUGCCUUUGAAACUAGAUAGCUAGAGUCUUGGAGAGGUUAGUGGAAUUCCGAGUGUAGAGGUGAAAUUCGUAGAUAUUCGGAAGAACACCAGUGGCGAAGGCGACUAACUGGACAAGUACUGACGCUGAGGUACGAAAGCGUGGGGAGCAAACAGGAUUAGAUACCCUGGUAGUCCACGCCGUAAACGAUGAUAACUAGUUGUUCGGUCACUUGGUGACUGAGUGACGCAGCUAACGCAUUAAGUUAUCCGCCUGGGGAGUACGGUCGCAAGAUUAAAACUUAAAGGAAUUGACGNNGNGAGNGCGAGACGACGACGAGGAGGAG